CCCAACUAUCCCUAUUAAUCAUUACGGUGAUCCUAGAAACCAACGAAAUAGAAUCAAUCCGUCCUAUUUCAUUAUUCCAUGCUAAUGUAUUCAGACGUUAGCCUGCUUUAAACACUCUAAUUUUUUCAAAGUAACAGUCCUGAUUUCCAAUCACACCAAAUUAAUGACAUGAAAGUUCCUCAGAAGGUAGAGAUUUAUCUCACCAGUACAGACAAUUAAGCCUGACCAAUGGGUAAACCCCGAAGUUCAACUACGAGCUUUUUAACUGCAACAACUUUAAUAUACGCUAUUGGAGCUGGAAUUACCGCGGCUGCUGGCACCAGACUUGCCCUCCAA
rnacentral:misc_RNA from 1 species